ACUCUCUUAGUACAACCAAUAUAACUGACUUCCAAUUAGUAGAUUCUGAUAAAACCUCAGAAGAGAGUA
rnacentral:tRNA from 1 species